UACGUAGGUGGCAAGCGUUGUCCGGAUUUACUGGGCGUAAAGCGAACGCAGGCGGGCCUUUAAGUAGGAAGUGAAAGGUUGGAGCUCAACUCUAACACUGCUCCCUAUACUGGAGGCCUUGAGUUUCGGAGAGGAAGACGGAACUGCAGGUGUAGCGGUGAAAUGCGUUGAUAUCUGCAGGAACACCAAUGGCGAAAGCAGUCUUCUGGACGAAUACUGACGCUCAGGUUCGAAAGCCAAGGCAGCAAACAGG
rnacentral:rRNA from 1 species